GUCAGCAUAUACUGAAUUUGGUGACACGAAAAGUUUAUCUCUGAAAGACUACGUGUACCGUACAAUAAUAGGCUUGCUCCAUGUCACUGUAGCAUAAGAAGAGACUAGAAUUGGCAGUAUAUAGAUACACAGAGUGAAGCAGCUACAUAUAACGUGUCACGGUGAAACUCCUAUCAUUGAGGCUAUUGGACUGAAGUCAUGCAUUGGAUAACAUUUGCACUAUGAAGUACAAUUAAUAUGUAGUAUUUGGUGUUUUCUCUAUCUUACGUACAUACAUGGGCUUCGAGAAUGCUUUGCAGCAUAAGUAGCAGCAGAACGUGCUGCUUCUGGAGAUAAGUAUCGAAUGGACAUACGUUGUAAUAAUGUUCUAAAUGUUAGACCUUUGUCUUUUGGAGUGAUUAGUGACUCAUGUUUGGUCAUUGUUAUGUCAUCCUAGAAGAUCUAAUUUAAUGUUUAAUCUACA
rnacentral:lncRNA from 7 species